rnacentral:misc_RNA from 1 species
UUUUGUGGUGUUGCCAAAAAGAAUGUAUUAGCUUUAAAUAUCUCAACGUACACAGUCCAUUAAGUGAAUGGCGCGGAAGUAAAAGAAGUAAAAAAUCAGUGAAUCGCAACCAAUCGUCAGACGAAGCUGGAUUAGAAGUAGGCAAUGGUCUUGACAUUUCUUUAACAGUAAACAAAAUUGUAGAAAAAGACACCUAGCAAGUACGAAAUUCUUCCCAAAAAAGAUACAAGCAAAAAGAGAUGAAAUAAACUAGUCUUCAUCCAUCCCUGCAGGCGGAUCUCUCUUUGGACCACCAGCUGGUUUUGCCAUUAUAAUCUGGUCUACCCGCAAUACAGUACAGGCAGCAUCUGCAGCAUAUUUGAGCGCAAAAAACUUUGUGACGUAAAGGUCCCAGAUAUUCAUGGUUGACAUAUCCUUACAAACACCUUCUUCCAAGUCAACACCCACUUUGGUAUUUCCAGAUGCAUGUUCAGCAUAAAGAGAUGAUAUGAUCUCCAUUGUAUUAAGACCAGCAUUCUCGGCCAGUGUUUUGGGUACCAUCUCAAAGCUCUCAGCAAAUUUUGCAAUAGCAUACUGAUCCAAUCCUGUUUCUUUAAAAGAGAAUUCCUUUAGUCUUCUAGCCAACUCAAUUUCAGUGGCUGCAGCUCCAAGUAUUAUUCGACUGUCUCUACACAUAGCCUUAUAGGUGUUAACUCCAUCAUCAACAGCUCUUUCA